GAUGAACGCUGGCGGCGUGCCUAAUACAUGCAAGUCGAGCGAACGGACGAGAAGCUUGCUUCUCUGAUGUUAGCGGCGGACGGGUGAGUAACACGUGGAUAACCUACCUAUAAGACUGGGAUAACUUCGGGAAACCGGAGCUAAUACCGGAUAAUAUUUUGAACCGCAUGGUUCAAAAGUGAAAGACGGUCUUGCUGUCACUUAUAGAUGGAUCCGCGCUGCAUUAGCUAGUUGGUAAGGUAACGGCUUACCAAGGCAACGAUGCAUAGCCGACCUGAGAGGGUGAUCGGCCACACUGGAACUGAGACACGGUCCAGACUCCUACGGGAGGCAGCAGUAGGGAAUCUUCCGCAAUGGGCGAAAGCCUGACGGAGCAACGCCGCGUGAGUGAUGAAGGUCUUCGGAUCGUAAAACUCUGUUAUUAGGGAAGAACAUAUGUGUAAGUAACUGUGCACAUCUUGACGGUACCUAAUCAGAAAGCCACGGCUAACUACGUGCCAGCAGCCGCGGUAAUACGUAGGUGGCAAGCGUUAUCCGGAAUUAUUGGGCGUAAAGCGCGCGUAGGCGGUUUUUUAAGUCUGAUGUGAAAGCCCACGGCUCAACCGUGGAGGGUCAUUGGAAACUGGAAAACUUGAGUGCAGAAGAGGAAAGUGGAAUUCCAUGUGUAGCGGUGAAAUGCGCAGAGAUAUGGAGGAACACCAGUGGCGAAGGCGACUUUCUGGUCUGUAACUGACGCUGAUGUGCGAAAGCGUGGGGAUCAAACAGGAUUAGAUACCCUGGUAGUCCACGCCGUAAACGAUGAGUGCUAAGUGUUAGGGGGUUUCCGCCCCUUAGUGCUGCAGCUAACGCAUUAAGCACUCCGCCUGGGGAGUACGACCGCAAGGUUGAAACUCAAAGGAAUUGACGGGGACCCGCACAAGCGGUGGAGCGUGUGGUUUAAUUCGAAGCAACGCGAAGAACCUUACCAAAUCUUGACAUCCUUUGACAACUCUAGAGAUAGAGCUUUCCCCUUCGGGGGACAAAGUGACAGGUGGUGCAUGGUUGUCGUCAGCUCGUGUCGUGAGAUGUUGGGUUAAGUCCCGCAACGAGCGCAACCCUUAAGCUUAGUUGCCAUCAUUAAGUUGGGCACUCUAAGUUGACUGCCGGUGACAAACCGGAGGAAGGUGGGGAUGACGUCAAAUCAUCAUGCCCCUUAUGAUUUGGGCUACACACGUGCUACAAUGAACAAUACAAAGGGCAGCGAAACCGUGAGGUCAAGCAAAUCCCAUAAAGUUGUUCUCAGUUCGGAUUGUAGUCUGCAACUCGACUACAUGAAGCUGGAAUCGCUAGUAAUCGUAGAUCAGCAUGCUACGGUGAAUACGUUCCCGGGUCU
rnacentral:rRNA from 1 species